rnacentral:tRNA from 1 species
GAGGGUACAGCUCAAGUGGUAGAGUGCGUGCUUGACACGCACGAGGUCCUGGUUCAAUCCCCAGUACCUCCU